AGUCCAGUAGCAUAAUGGUAGUGCAUCCAUGAAUGAUGUCUUUUCCUUAGCGUUCUCAUGGAGAUUCUCUGUUCGAUUCGGGGCUGGGCUA